UUUUUAGGAACAAAGGCUAAAACCGCGACGUCCUGUCGCAGCACCUUCAUGACUUA
rnacentral:sRNA from 1 species